GAGUUUGAUCAUGGCUCAGGAUGAACGCUAGCGGCAGGCUUAACACAUGCAAGUCGAGGGGUAUAGUUCUUCGGAAUUAGAGACCGGCGCACGGGUGCGUAACGCGUAUGCAAUCUACCUUUCACAGAGGGAUAGCCCAGAGAAAUUUGGAUUAAUACCUCAUAGUAUAACGACUCUGCAUGGAGAUGUUAUUAAAGUCACAACGGUGAAAGAUGAGCAUGCGUCCCAUUAGCUAGUUGGUAAGGUAACGGCUUACCAAGGCUACGAUGGGUAGGGGUCCUGAGAGGGAGAUCCCCCACACUGGUACUGAGACACGGACCAGACUCCUACGGGAGGCAGCAGUGAGGAAUAUUGGACAAUGGGCGCAAGCCUGAUCCAGCCAUGCCGCGUGCAGGAUGACGGUCCUAUGGAUUGUAAACUGCUUUUGCACAGGAAGAAACAACGCUACGUGUAGCGUCUUGACGGUACUGUGAGAAUAAGGAUCGGCUAACUCCGUGCCAGCAGCCGCGGUAAUACGGAGGAUCCAAGCGUUAUCCGGAAUCAUUGGGUUUAAAGGGUCCGUAGGCGGUUUAGUAAGUCAGUGGUGAAAGCCCAUCGCUCAACGGUGGAACGGCCAUUGAUACUGCUAGA
rnacentral:rRNA from 1 species